UGUUCGGUAGCUAAGUUGGUUAAAGCGCCGGACUAGCGAUAACGGAGUCGUGGGUUCGAAUCCCACCAAAACAA
rnacentral:tRNA from 1 species